GUGAAUCAUCGAAUCUUUGAACGCAAAUUGCACUCUCUUCGAGAGGUUGGCUGUUUGAGGGGCAGCCUAAAAAAAAUUGACAUAGUUGGUGGUUCGCGGUGACAUUAGGCGGAAAUUGGGUGAUCUUAAAACUUUGGGGUUUAAGAGGGUUAAAAGUUUGUUUAUGAUUCCAAGAACGGUUUUAAGAUUUACUUUUUACACGUUUAAGGUAA
rnacentral:misc_RNA from 1 species